CACCACCACCCACAGAAUCAAGAAAGAGCUAUCAAUCUGUCAAUCCUUUCCGUGUCCGGGCAGGGUGAGGUUUCCCGUGUUGAUUAAGUCCCUGACCUCA